rnacentral:misc_RNA from 1 species
AGCAAUUCCUUUCAUGUGAGGCAAUAAGCUCUGGUCUGCAGCUUUUGCAAUUCGGAUGAAUGAUGUGCAAAUCUGUAAUCUCGCAUGUCGAGAAGCACUUGUAGCAGGAUCCUUGACAACAAAAGGUUGUGAGGUAAGUAGCUCGAACAACUUAUUAAUGACACUGCCAACAACAUCUGGAUUAUACUUCAGAAAGGGUCCUAGUGCAUCUAAGUAGUGGCCGAGAACUUCUACAAGUGCCGGUUCAGUCCAUUUCAAAGGAAGAAGUUGUUGAAGCAGACCUUCAAACAUUCUGCACAAUGACUG